GGGAGACGCAUGCCCAGUUUGAAUGCUGGCUGAAAUCUAGGCCUUUAGGGUACAGCUCAAAGCACUGUCAGCCUCUGGCUAUAGUGGCAGAGCCUGCUGCUGUACAUGAUGGGAUGUGCCUCGGACUUACUAUUUAGCGAGGAUAGACCUGACCCAUUAUGAUUAGAGCGGCGGGUUGCUGUGGCGACGACACGGAGAAGGCUCCCGCACACCUGCACCGCCACCGGGCGCCGCCAGUGUGGACGCAGGCAUCCCUGGGGGCCGCUCUCUGCUGUGGGAAACACGACAACAACAACAAAAGGGAGGCAGGGAGAAGGGAAGACGGAGGAGGGGACGGGAGAAGGGAAGGGAGCGAUGCACCACCAGUUUCAGCAGUGACUAACAAAACAGGAUAGAAAUCCACAAGUCACACAGAUGGCGCCCCAGAAAAGGCGAGGAAGCCGUCUGCGGGCCUGCUGAGGAAGGCCAGCAGCAGAGGGACAGAUAGGCGCAUCCUCUGAGCCACUCCUGCGCCCACCAGAGAAGAACAAAACAUUAAACCAAGAACCUGGAUGCGACCAUUCUUAUGAAGAAAAACAAUAGGUAACUAAGUCACGCCUGAUUAACCAGAACCAGAACCGAAAGAGAUUCCCCAUUUUUGUAUGGCAGCUUUCUAAUGGGAAGAAGUAUGGUAUGACACGGGGAAAUAGAGCAUAUACUUUCUUUUUAUGCAGAGAGAGGGAAAUGAAGGACAGGGAGAGGCCUGCCGGGCGGACUCCUGAAGUCCUGUAGUUCUCUGGAAUGUUCUGGCUCAGCUCCAGGUCCUGCUAAUGAAGAAGUAAGCUCCGCACUGUGUCCUGGCCUCACUGCGCCCAGACAACCGGGCCUCUGCCUGCGGGCUGCUCCUUCCUUCAUCUGCCUCCUCCUUUUCCCAUAAUAUGACUGUUCUGCAUUAUUGUCUCUGUGUCCAUUCACAAAACAUCACAAUGCAUUAGCCUGUCCAAAGUACUUUACAAUGGCAAUAUUUACAGAAGGUUAAAUAAAAUAUGUAUAGAGAGAUUAAUAGUGACUGUGCAAUAGACCUUCUGAACUUCGAGCAUGCUGGGCUUGUGUGUUUUUCAAGCUGGAUUCUCCAGGCUGCUUUAGUUAUUUUAAUAUCUCCCAAACAAUGCACUUAAAGGAAAAGAUGAUUAGAGGAAAAUGUUUUGUUUUGUUUCUCUUUUCCAUCCAGUGUGAUUAGCAGGCAGUGGAACUGUUCCUUUCACUUUCCGGCUGACUUAGAGCAAGAAUGUUUCCUUGAGGUAACUGUGCUACAGCAGAAUGAAGUGAAACAGUCAACUAUCACAUCAAGUUGUACAAAAAUAAUACUAUUUUUGACAUCUUUUCAGGUCCCCUUAGUGAUCAUUGUAGAAGUAGUUUCACUGGAUAAUCAAAUCUGUGUUUCUUAUAGAUAUUUACAUGUGUUUCCCACUUUGUAAGGUUAAUAAAAUAGUUUGGGAAGGAAGGUAGGCAUAUAUUACGUCAGAGAUCCACAAACUUUCUUUGUAAAAAGCUAAAUAUUUUGACCUUUGUGGUUUAUAUGGUCUCUGAAGCAACAAUUUAAACUCCGCUCUUGUGGCACAGAAGUUGCUGUAGAUAAUGUAUAAAUGAAAGGAACAGUUGUGUUACAAUAAAGGUUUAUUUACAAAAAUAGGCAACAAGUCCAUUUGACCUGUACAAUGUAGUUUACCAGCAACCCAGCUAGAUCCUAUAGAAUGCUUGGAAGUAUCUCUAUUCCAAUGCUGUGUUUUUCAGUUUCUCACUUUUGUAAGUUACAGACUAAUUCAAAUAAAAAUGCAUCCAAUUGGCCCAUGUGAACAGACUUUCUUGAUCUGAUAAAGAAAAAAAGAACACUGAAAAUAAAGGGACAGUAUAUAUUUAAAUUAUUGUGGUAGCUACUAAUUUACUCAUAUCAUGUCUGAUUCAUUGGCAGAUAAAUGGUCGAGCAGGUUCCACUGUGGGAAAGCAAAGUCCUCCCAUUAUGAUGAUGGUAAUUUUCAAAGGUCUAUUUGGUACCCAGUUUUCUAAAGGAUAUUGUGCCAAAAUGUCUUUUAUCACAAGGAGGCAAGCAGGGCCUUUAAACAUAUUUUGUGGAGUGAGCACCGUAUGUAGAAGUGACAGCCAAAACUCCUGGCCAGGUCUCCUUUGAAGAGGAGGCCAGGUGUCCAAGGAGUCAAGCAUUCUAUGGUAUAAUUCAUGCUAAA
ensembl:lincRNA